rnacentral:rRNA from 1 species
AAGGAAAGAGGGAGGCAUGCCUAACACAUGCAAGUCGAACGAGACCUCCGGGUCUAGUGGCGCACGGGUGCGUAACGCGUGGGAACCUGCCCUUAGGUUCGGAAUAACUCCCCGAAAGGGGUGCUAAUACCGGAUAAUGUCUUCGGACCAAAGAUUUAUCGCCUUUGGAUGGGCCCGCGUUGGAUUAGCUAGUUGGUAGGGUAAAAGCCUACCACGGCGACGAUCCAUAGCUGGUCUGAGAGGAUGAUCAGCCACACUGGGACUGAGACACGGCCCAGACUCCUACGGGAGGCAGCAGUGGGGAAUAUUGGACAAUGGGCGAAAGCCUGAUCCAGCAAUGCCGCGUGAGUGAUGAAGGCCUUAGGGUUGUAAAGCUCUUUUACCCGGGAUGAUAGUGACAGUACCGGGAGAAUAAGCUCCGGCUAACUACGUG